UCCCGUACGAUCACCGAAGUUAAGCAACACCAAGCCUGAUCAGUACCUAGAUGGGUGACUGCUUGUGAAUACUAUUUGCUGUAAG